rnacentral:rRNA from 1 species
AACAAGGUUUCCGUAGAUAUCCUUCUUUGAAGCCUUCUGCACAACGACUAAUAACCAUGUGCACAGUCCCUGUAGACAAGGGGGCAACGUCACCUUAUGUGCUGGGAUCCACUUCUGUGGGGACCAACAGCCCGGGUAUACAUCUAUUAGGUUUAUAUCUGGUCUACAGAUUAGGCGGUGGCGGUCAGUAUAUUUGUCUUUUUUGUGAUGAUGCUGCAAUAAUUUAUUGGUUAUAAGAUUUAGCUCUCUAGGUUAUUGAUCCUGCACUAUUGCAAAAGGGGCAGAUACUGAUCAAGAUAUAAUCGGUCGCUAUUGCCAGUAUAAAUAGCUGAGAAACGUUCCGUAGGUGAACCUGCGGAAGGAUCAUUA